GACGUAGGGCGCGAGCGUUGUCCGGAUUUAUUGGGCGUAAAGAGCGUGUAGGCGGCCAGGUAGGUCUGCUGUGAAAACUCGAGGCUCAACCUCGAGACGUCGGCGGAAACCAUCUGGCUAGAGUCCGGAAGAGGAGAGUGGAAUUCCUGGUGUAGCGGUGAAAUGCGCAGAUAUCAGGAAGAACACCCGUGGCGAAGGCGGCUCUCUGGAACGGUACUGGCGCUGAGACGCGAAAGCGUGGGGAGCGAACAGG
rnacentral:rRNA from 1 species